rnacentral:misc_RNA from 1 species
AAGUCGUAACAAGGUUUCCGUAGGUGAACCUGCGGAAGGAUCAUUAUUGAAUAAACCUGGCUUGGUUGAUGCUGGUCUUUUCGGAGACAUGUGCACACCUUGUCAUCUUUAUAUCUCCACCUGUGCACUUUUUGUAGACCUGGAUUCAACUUUCCGAGGAAACUCGGUUGUGAGGAAUUGCUUAAUAGGCUUUCCUUGUUAGUUUCCAGGGCUAUGUUUUCAUAUACACCCUAUGAAUGUAACAGAAUGUCAUUAUUAGGCUUAAUUGUCUUAUAAACUAUAUACAACUUUCAGCAACGGAUCUCUUGGCUCUC